rnacentral:rRNA from 1 species
CCUACGGGAGGCAGCAGUGAGGAAUAUUGCACAAUGGGCGAAAGCCUGAUGCAGCAACGCCGCGUGAGCGAUGAAGGCCUUCGGGUCGUAAAGCUCUGUCCUCAAGGAAGUUAAUGACGGUACUUGAGGAGGAAACCCCGGCUAACUACGUGCCAGCAGCCGCGGUAAUACGUAGGGGUCUAGCGUGAUCCUGAAUUACUGGGCGAAAAGGGUGCGUAGGUGGUUUCUUAAGUCAGAGGUGAAAGGCUACGGAUAAACCGUAGUAAGCAGUUGAAACUGGGGAACUUGAGUGCAGGAGAGGAGAGUGGAAUUCCUAGUGUAGCGGUGAAAUGCGUAGAUAUUAGGAGGAACACCAGUCGCGAAGGCGGGUCUCUGGACUGUAACUGACGCUGAGGCACGAAAGCGUGGGGAGCAAACAGGAUUAGAUACCCGGGUAGUC